GAUGAACGCUGGCGGCGUGCCUAAUACAUGCAAGUCGAGCGAACAGACGAGGAGCUUGCUCCUCGGACGUUAGGGGCGGAGGGGUGAGAAACACGUGGAAAACCUACCUAUAAGACGGGGAUAACUUCGGGAAACGGGAGCUAAUACCGGAUAAUAUAUUGAACCGCAGGGGUGAAUAGUGAAAGACGGUUUUGCUGUCACUUAUAGAUGGAUCCGCGCCGCAUUAGCUAGUUGGUACGGUAACGGGUUACCAAGGCAACGAUGCGUGGCCGACCUGAGAGGGUGGUCGGCCGCCCUGGAACUGAGCCACGGUCCAGACUCCUACGGGAGGGAGCAGUAUGGAAUCUGCCGCAAUGGGCGGAAGCUUGACGGAGCGACGCCGCGUGAGUGAUGAAGGUCUUCCGAUCGUAAAACUCUGUUAUUAGUGAAAAACAAAUGUGUAAGUAACUAUGCACGUCUUGACGGUACCUAAUCAGAAAGCCACGGCUAACUACGUG
rnacentral:rRNA from 1 species